GAUGAACGCUAGCGGCAGGUCUUAACACAUGCAAGUCGAGGGGUAACGAUGGUGCUUGCAUCAGGCGACGACCGGCGAACGGGUGCGUAACGCGUAUAGAAUCUGCCUUGUACAGGAGGAUAGCCUUUAGAAAUGAAGAUUAAUACUCCAUAAUGUAAGUAAAUCGCAUGAUUUACUUAUUAAAGAUUUAUUGGUACAAGAUGACUAUGCGUCCUAUUAGUUAGUUGGUAAGGUAACGGCUUACCAAGGCGUCGAUAGGUAGGGGGUCUGAGAGGAUUAUCCCCCACACUGGUACUGAGACACGGACCAGACUCCUACGGGAGGCAGCAGUGAGGAAUAUUGGACAAUGGGCGCAAGCCUGAUCCAGCCAUGCCGCGUGCAGGAAGACUGCCCUAUGGGUUGUAAACUGCUUUUAUACAGGAAGAAACACCAAUACGUGUAUUGGCUUGACGGUACUGUAAGAAUAAGCACCGGCUAACUCCGUGCCAGCAGCCGCGGUAAUACGGAGGGUGCAAGCGUUAUCCGGAAUCAUUGGGUUUAAAGGGUCCGCAGGCGGUCGAUUAAGUCAGAGGUGAAAUCCCAUAGCUUAACUAUGGAACUGCCUUUGAUACUGGUUGACUUGAGUCAUAUGGAAGUAGAUAGAAUAAGUAGUGUAGCGGUGAAAUGCAUAGAUAUUACUUAGAAUACCGAUUGCGAAGGCAGUCUACUACGUAUGUACUGACGCUCAUGGACGAAAGCGUGGGGAGCGAACAGG
rnacentral:rRNA from 1 species